AUUCAAAGAUUUGAAACUUCCAACUGGCAAAACAAAAUUCAGGGAGGGAAAUAUGCAAGCAAGGGGUGAGGAGGACAGUGGAGAAAUGUAUUACUUCAAUUUAACCACUAUUCUGACAGCUACAAACAAUUUCUCGGAGGCUAAUAAGCUUGGACAAGGAGGUUUUGGCCCUGUUUACAAGGGCACUCUGCCUAAUGGCAAAGAAAUAGCGGUUAAAAGGCUUUCAGCAAAAUCAGGGCAAGGGAUUGAAGAGUUCAGAAAUGAAGUUAUGGUAAUUGUUAAACUUCAACACAAAAAUCUUGUGAGGCUGUUGGGUUGCUGCAUAGAAGGAGAUGAAAAGCUUCUAGUCUACGAGUACAUGGCCAACACGAGUCUAGACGCCUUUUUGUUUGAUCCAACAAAAACAAAGCAACUAGACUGGGCUAAGCGGGCCGCCAUUAUUGGUGGCAUUGUAAGGGGGCUUCUAUAUCUGCAUGAGGAUUCUAGGCUCAAAAUCAUCCAUAGGGAUUUGAAAGCAAGCAAUGUUUUGUUGGAUGAUGAGAUGAACCCCAAGAUCUCGGACUUUGGCACUGCCAGGAUUUUUGGAAGCAACCAAAUUGAAGCUAGCACCAACAGAAUUGUUGGUACAUUUGGCUAUAUGGCUCCAGAGUAUGCAAUGCACGGUCACUUCUCAGUCAAGACAGAUGUUUAUAGCUUUGGUGUGUUAGUUUUGGAGAUUAUGACCGGUCAGAGGAAUAACCGUUUUGGCCGCAGGGAAAAUGUUGAGGACCUUCUGAGCUAUGCUUGGAAAAAUUGGAAAGAAGGGACAGCUACCAAUAUAGUAGAUCCCACGUUAAGGGAUGACACAACAAGUGAAAUAAUGAAAUGUAUCCACAUUGGGCUCCUAUGCGUUCAAGAAAAGGAAGUUGAUAGACCAACCAUGGCUUCUAUUGUUCUUAUGCUUAAUGGCCACUCUCUAAGUCUCCCGGUACCUUCACAUCCUGCAUUUUUUAUCCAUAACAGUAGCCAGUUGGACAUGCCUUUAGGAACCAGGUUGGAUCAAUUCUCAGUAGAUGAGGCUACAAUUACUGAUCUACAUCCUCGAUAUAAUUUAUGGUAUAAUGGAAAGAUUCUCUCUCAUCCGUGGAUGGACUGGUCAUUGUUUCUUUUUUCUUCAGUCAUUUCCCUUUUUCCGUUCUCUAAGCAGUUCUACCUGUUAUAUAUGAUCAAUCACAUCCUCAUUUGCACCUUGGAAUAUUGGUUUAGCAGAGAGUGGUGGAUACAACAAUCCAUUUACCAUUACCAUUACCAUUACAUAGAUGAAUAUCUAGCUAGUGUAGCAGCAGGAAUGUUUGAUACCCAAGACACCAGAGCCUUCCUAUUGCUGUCAAUCUCAACUUUUUUGCUUACGAUCAUCUCCAUCAAUGGCCAACCAAGUUAUAACCACUGUGAUUGUUCAGGUCCAGACAAUGACUCAGACAGCGCCAAUUACAUAGACAAUCUCACUUCCCUCUUGGGUUCUCUAUCUUCUAAAGCUUCCACCAACAGCUUCUACAAUGAUACCUUCAAUCAAAUCUACAGCCUCUAUCUCUGCAGAGGCGAUGUUGAUGCUACUACUUGCCAGAAUUGCGUGAAAACUGCUAGUCAAGAAAUUCAAAAGCGAUGCCAGUCUAAUAAAACAGCCAUCAUCUGGUAUGAUGAAUGCAUAGUAAGAUACUCUAACCUCAAUUUCUUUGGAAUUGGGCAGACCACUCCGAUGGUGCUCAUGUGGAAUGCCCAGAACACUAGUUCCAGAGAAGAGCCGCCGUGGGAGGCAGUAGGUAUGAUAUCGGAGCUCCUGGCAAAUGCUCCAUAUGCAGAGAAUAUGUUUAAUACGUCAGAGAAAAAGCUGGACAGUGGAUAUAGAUACGGGCUGGUGCAGUGUAGUAGAGAUAUGGGCAGGGAUGAAUGCAGAAAUUGUUUAACGCAGCUGAGGGAGAAUAUUAGCCAGUGUUGCAACGGAAGGAGAGGAUGGCAUGAUUAUGUGCCCAAGUUGCUAUCUAAGGUAUGAAGACCACCAAUUCUACAACCACAAAACUCUGGCUCCAUCUCCACCACCACCACCAUCGCUACUGCCUUCCCUGGUUGUCACUACCUUGCAGGGGCCGCCUGAAGAUGACCAAGGAAAGGGAGGAGAGAACAUAACAAAGACUGUAAUUAUAACCGUAUCAACUUGUACAGCAGUUGUGGUUCUCUUCGGUUUCUACAUUUAUUGUUCGGUCAUCAGAAGGAAGCACAUACCAGAGGAGGGAACAGGUGUAGAAAUUCUAUUAAAUGAUUUGAAAGGUACAACUGGAACUUGCUGCAUGGAGGCACAUAUGCACGCAAGGGAUCAAGACCACAGCAGGGAGAUGCAUUACUUCAAUUUUACUACCAUACUGGCUGCCACAAACAGUUUCUCUGAUGAGAAUAAGCUUGGAGAAGGAGGUUUUGGCCCUGUUUACAAGGGUAAGCUGCUUAAUGGAAAGGAAGUAGCAGUCAAAAGAUUUUGGCCAAAAUCAGGGCAAGGCCAUGGAGAGUUUGAGAAUGAAGUCAUGUUGCUUGUUAAACUUCAACACAAGAAUCUUGUGAGGCUGUUGGGUUACUGCACAGAGGGGGAUGAAAAGCUCCUUGUCUAUGAAUACAUGGCUAACACUAGUCUCGACUCCUUUUUGUUUGAUCCUACAAAGAGCAGGCAACUGGACUGGGCAAAGCGCGCAGCCAUUGUUGGUGGAAUAGCAAGGGGCCUUCUCUAUCUGCAUGAAGACUCUCGUCUCAAAAUCAUCCACAGGGACUUGAAAGCAAGCAAUAUUUUGUUGGAUGAAGAGAUGAACCCAAAGAUCUCAGAUUUUGGCACUGCAAGGAUUUUUGGCCAAAAUCAAAUUGAUGCCAACACCAGCAGAGUUGUUGGUACAUUUGGGUACAUGGCACCAGAGUAUGCAAUGGAGGGAUUAUUUUCGGUGAAGUCUGAUACUUACAGCUUUGGAGUUCUGUUGCUAGAAAUCUUAAGUGGAAAAAAGAACAGUGGCUUCCAUAACCCAGACCAUUCCCAAAGCCUUUUAUCAUAUGCAUGGCGGCUAUGGAAUGAAGACAAAGGACUGAAGUUUAUAGACCAGAACUUAGUUGACACUUGUCCUGUAAGUGAGGCACUCAGAUGGAUCCAUAUUGCUUUGUUGUGUGUUCAGGAAGAACCCAAUGAUAGACCCCUCAUGUCAUCAGUUGCUCUCAUGCUUGGAAGCAAAUCAGUGAACCUUCCCCAACCAUCAGCACCUCCCUUCUCUAUGGGAAGACAUUUCAUGUCUGAUCAAUCUUCAACAACCGGGACCAGCACUGGUUUUCUCAUGUCAGAUCAAGACUAGGUGGAGUUGGUGAUGCAAGUCUAGCUUUUCUCCCUGUGAUUCACAAAUUCAAAUAUACAAGAUCUCUUCCUUCUUUCCUCUUCA